rnacentral:rRNA from 1 species
UACGAAGGGGGCUAGCGUUGCUCGGAAUCACUGGGCGUAAAGCGCACGUAGGCGGAUUGCUAAGUCAGGGGUGAAAUCCCGGGGCUCAACCUCGGAACUGCCUUUGAUACUGCAAAUCUCGAGUCCGAUAGAGGUGGGUGGAAUUCCUAGUGUAGAGGUGAAAUUCGUAGAUAUUAGGAAGAACACCGGUGGCGAAGGCGGCCCACUGGAUCGGUACUGACGCUGAGGUGCGAAAGCGUGGGGAGCAAACAGG